rnacentral:rRNA from 1 species
UACGGGGGGAGCAAGCGUUGUUCGGAUUUACUGGGCGUAAAGGGCGCGUAGGCGGUUGCACAAGUCAGUUGUGAGAUCUCCGGGCUUAACUCGGAAAGGUCAACUGAUACUGUGCGACUAGAGUGCAGAAGGGGCAACUGGAAUUCUCGGUGUAGCGGUGAAAUGCGUAGAUAUCGAGAGGAACACCGGUGGCGAAGGCGGGUCUCUGGGCCGAAACUGACGCUGAGGAGCGAAAGCGUGGGGAGCAAACAGG